CUUGUGACUGAGCGGCGGACGGGUGAGUAACGCGUGGGCAACCUGCCUUACACAGGGGGAUAACAGUUAGAAAUGACUGCUAAUACCGCAUAAGACCACAAAACCGCAUGGUUUAGUGGUAAAAACUCCGGUGGUGUAAGAUGGGCCCGCGUCUGAUUAGGUAGUUGGUGGGGUAACGGCCUACCAAGCCGACGAUCAGUAGCCGACCUGAGAGGGUGACCGGCCACAUUGGGACUGAGACACGGCCCAGACUCCUACGGAAGGCAGCAG
rnacentral:rRNA from 1 species